CUACUUCAUGCUCUAGGAGGAGAUGAC
rnacentral:piRNA from 1 species